rnacentral:rRNA from 1 species
GUGUCAGCAGCCGCGGUAAGACGAACCAUGCAAACGUUAUUCGGAAUCACUGGGCUUAAAGCGUGCGUAGGCGGCUCAGAAAGUUGGGUGUGAAAUCCCUCGGCCUAACCGAGGAAUUGCGCCCAAAACUACUGAGCUCGAGGGAGUUAGAGGUGAGCGGAACUCACGGUGGAGCGGUGAAAUGCGUUGAUAUCGUGAGGAACACCGGAGGCGAAAGCGGCUCACUGGGGCUUCACUGACGCUGAGGCACGAAAGCUAGGGGAGCAAACGGGAUUAGAAACCCUUGUAGUCC